GAGUUAAAUAAGUGUCCUAGAAUUGCUAUUAAAAAGCACUUAGUAGGGGCUGGAGAGAUGGCUCAGCCGUUAAAGGCUAGGCUCACAACCAAAAAA
rnacentral:miRNA from 14 species